rnacentral:ncRNA from 1 species
CCGGCGGGACGACCCGCCGGAGGACAAACCGUCCGCGCCGCCCGUUCACGGGGACGACCCCG